rnacentral:rRNA from 1 species
UGCCAGCCGCCGCGGUAAUACGGAGGGUCCAAGCGUUAAUCGGAAUUACUGGGCGUAAAGCGCGCGUAGGCGGUUUAAUAAGUUGUAUGUGAAAGCCCUGGGCUCAACCUAGGAACUGCAUACAAAACUAUUAAGCUUGAGGACGAGAGAGGAGAGUAGAAUUUCAGGUGUAGCGGUGAAAUGCGUAGAUAUCUGAAGGAAUACCAAUGGCGAAGGCAGCUCUCUGGCUCGUUUCUGACGCUAAGGUGCGAAAGCGUGGGUAGCAAACAGGAUUAGAUA